UACACGGACAGCGGUAAACCUGAUGUCAGAGGAAACGGCAGAACUCAGGGACAAAGGACACAAGGUUGGAGCCAAGGAAGCGUUCAACACUGCUUAAUUAUCUUCAUGGCGGAUGAAACAGAAGUGAAGCCUUCUGCAGGAGCCACCAGUGCGCUCAGGGACACAGCAUCCAGGGACCGGCCCCUGGUCCCCCUGCCUGCGCUCCGAGGAGCAGCGAACUGAGGAGCCGGAUGACUGGAACUGGACUUUACAAGGAGCAGACUUCAGCCUUUUUAGGCCUUCAUGACGCAUGUGGCUAGCGGCUACCUCAACCAGCCCCGUUCGCUUUGACUGAGGCCUGUGCUGAGGACCGCCAUUCAUGACCAGCAGCGUGUGCAAACAGAAAAGUGUUAUUGUCAAGAUGCACAGACUCCUCAUCGCGCCUGGGCGGAACAUGAAACGGUCCCUCCAGCUGGAAGAGCGAGAGCUGUGUGGGCUUCCUGUAGUGGUGCAGCGCUGGGUCAUCGGAGAGCCGCAGUGCAUGCUUGGGAACAGAGCAGCUAUCUGUGUUAUUUCAGCAGCAGCAUGUUGGAUGAAGGGCCCUUCCACGGGCAUUAUGGAUUAAUCUUUGGCAGGAUCUCAACUGGAUCGGCCCAAAAAUGGGAUGCUUAACCCUCACGUGUAGCAGAACUGCUGUGAUAAAGCGGGAUAGAGAGGAUUGAGCGUGACCCACAUUGGGACUGUUCUAAAUGUAUUACCUGUGCUGGCUGUUUAUGAAGGUAUGUGCUAAAAGGGUAUGCUCUGCAAACCCACAAUGUUAUUCCAAGGGAGCCAUCACUAUAUAUAUAUAUAUAUAU